AUAGCUUUUUGGCCUUUUGGCUAAGAUCCAGUGUAGUAUCUGUUCUUAUUAGUUUAAUAUCUGAUAGGUCCUCUAUUCAAGAACAAUGUAUUAAGCGGAUUUUGAAGCAGGGAGUUGGGAGAGCAGCUUGCUCUGUCCACUCCACUCAUCAACCUAGAAUUGCAAUACCUCCUGGAAUGGCACAUUCCUC
rnacentral:snRNA from 1 species